rnacentral:rRNA from 1 species
GACGAACGCUGGCGGCGUGCUUAACACAUGCAAGUCGAACGGUAAGGCCCUUCGGGGUACACGAGUGGCGAACGGGUGAGUAACACGUGGGUGAUCUGCCCUGCACUUUGGGAUAAGCCUGGGAAACUGGGUCUAAUACCGAAUAUGACUACAGGCUGCAUGGUCUGUGGUGGAAAGCUUUUGCGGUGUGGGAUGGGCCCGCGGCCUAUCAGCUUGUUGGUGGGGUGAUGGCCUACCAAGGCGACGACGGGUAGCCGGCCUGAGAGGGUGACCGGCCACACUGGGACUGAGAUACGGCCCAGACUCCUACGGGAGGCAGCAGUGGGGAAUAUUGCACAAUGGGCGCAAGCCUGAUGCAGCGACGCCGCGUGAGGGACGACGGCCUUCGGGUUGUAAACCUCUUUCAGCACAGACGAAGCGCAAGUGACGGUAUGUGCAGAAGAAGGACCGGCCAACUACGUG